rnacentral:rRNA from 1 species
GAUCAUGGCUCAGGAUGAACGCUAGCUACAGGCUUAACACAUGCAAGGUCGAGGGGCAGCAUGACGAUAGCUUGCUAUUGUCGAUGGCGACGGCGCACGGGUGAGUAACGCGUAUCCAACCUUCCCGUUGCUAGGGGAUAACCUUGCGAAAGUAAGACUAAUACCCUAUGAAGUUCUUCGCAGACAUCUAAAGAGAACGAAAGAUUUAUCGGGCAACGGAUGGGGAUGCGUCUGAUUAGGUUGUUGGCGGGGUAACGGCCCACCAAGCCUACGAUCAGUAGGGGUUCUGAGAGGAAGGUCCCCCACAUUGGAACUGAGACACGGUCCAAACUCCUACGGGAGGCAGCAGUGAGGAAUAUUGGUCAAUGGACGAGAGUCUGAACCAGCCAAGUAGCGUGCAGGACGACGGCCCUAUGGGUUGUAAACUGCUUUUAUGCGGGGAUAAAGUGUGGGACGUGUCCCAUAUUGCAGGUACCGCAUGAAUAAGGACCGGCUAAUUCCGUG